rnacentral:ncRNA from 1 species
UUCUAUGUGACUGACGGAAAAGUGGAGCAUACCACGUGGGAGCAUAGAAUGUAAACGCCGACCGUCUGGGCAGCUC